UCCUUCUUCUUUCUUUUUUCACAUUUUUGUGAUUAUUUUUAUUUUUGAGAUGUUUUCUUCAAUUAUCAUGUUGAGAAAAUAUUAUGGCAUGAAAAGGUGCAGCAUUGUGCCCAUCGGAGGCCAUUUGAAAUUAUGAGAAAAUACCCCCACCAGAAGACAAAUUCUCAAAGCUUGUUUCGGAGCCUUUGACCCACCCCUGAAAUAUUAUUUAAUACAAAAUCAUAUAUACACUCUUUUUUUGUUUCUUCAUGAAUUGGAAAUGACUUGAAUAAAGGUUUUAACCCUUUACUCGCAGAGUACCCCAUGAAAAGAAAAAACCUUAAAAUGUUUUGAUGCAUGCUAAUCAUGACAAAAAACUGCAAUUUGCUAAGAAAAUAAAAUGACACACUGUUUUCUGUACAAGUCAUAUUAGGGAUGAAAAAAAUCCAACAUGAUCUCAGACGGAGAAGUGAAAGUAAAUUUGCUCACUCACUUGAAUUACAAGUCUGUAACUUGACAACACUAAGAUUAUAAUCAUGAAACCGGGUUUUUUUCUUUCUUUCACACCCAUUAGUUGACUAUUCAUAUAAGAUUAGAUUGGUAGUUGAUACGCUUGUAUCAAUACGCAAACAAUGUUCAUGCACAUGGACAUCAAUGGAGUGUUAGACUAUUUCAUGAGGGAAUAGAUAGACAACCAAAGUUUUAGGAAUGUGUUAUUCAUACAUUUAUUUUUACUUUCCAUACAUUCUUGUUAAUUUUAGUCAUUCAUCUUUUUAGUCUAUUCGAUCCGACGAUCGAAAACUGAGAAAAAUAUAUAAGAAGUAAAAAUAAGUAUACAAAUAGCACUAUUCAAGUUUUAAAUAGUCAAACAAGUUGCAGUAGAAGCAGCUACUGAAUUGGCAUGCAACAAGUCAACCAUCUACCAAUCGCAGAAGACUGGUAGUUUGAUCUUUUAAGUGGAGGGUCGGAUUAUCAGAUAUAUAAAUAUUUCGAUAUUCAGGUCAAACCACAACGGUCCUGAACAGUUAGGAGACAGCAACUAAGGUCAACUGUAAAGUGCGCUAGGUUAAAUUUGUUAUUUUUCCACCUUAAGUAGACAAACACGCAAGUAAUAUAAGCUUUGGGCUAAUGUUUAAAGGCCCAUUUAGAAUUCAAUAUAAGUUAAAAUCAGGCCACAUACCCAAUACCAAGGUAGGUUUCUUUACUAGUUUGGACUGUGUUACCUACCACUUUGCUCGAGUUUCAGUUCUACCUGGUUAAUUUAUUGACAUUAUUUUUUUUUUCGGUCAAACAACUAAUUUCAUUAAAAAUAAAACAUAUUGAUAAAAAGCGGGACAAAUUCAAAUGCAAUGCACAACACUAAAGUAAAAUUGCAGCCAGUUAUAAAAGUAAAAUAAGAAAACAAGCUUCAAAAAUGAGCACAUAACAAUGCCUAUGCCGAAACCCUAGAUCUGGAAACAAGAACCAGCCUCCUCCACCAAAUUAGUGUCACCACCAUCGUCAAGCCGCCACCAAAAAGAAGAACCUACAGGCAUAAAGGAUGAACGGAAAAUGGGGUUGGGCAAGCCACUCGCACUUAAACCACUCCCAUAAUAAUCCUACCAAAUAGAGCAAAAUGCACUUUAGUAGCCAUACUAGUAGGUGGGCAGUGGCUCGCAACUAGGAACAACAAUUUGGAAAUAAAAAUGCAUGAAACUUGGAUCAACGACAAGAUUUGCCAACAAUUGAGACAAAGCUAAAGAAAAAUAAGACAAAUUACCUCAAGGAAAAUGAGACAAUCUCGGAACAAAACUACCCGAAAUCAAGGGCCAAAUGAAAAGAAAAGGAAGAAGAUAGAGUUAAGGAAGAAGAAGAAGGUUAUUAGGGAAGAAGGAGAUGGGGUUGCCACCGAUCCCACCCAAGAGGAAGGGCUCGGCGGCUGAAGCCGAGAUGGGAGUUUGGAGGUUCUUGACUCUGGGAGAGGGGGAGCCGCGCUUUUUUUCUAGGCUGGGAGAGCUUUCUUCAAACAUUAUUAUAGUUACUGAAAAGGUAUCUAGUUUGUAGUAGAAAUUAAACGCUUGCAUGUGCCUCUAACAAAGUGAUCAAAUAGCCAAGAUUGUGUUUGGGUGAGGGACUUUAAUCCUAAGGAAUUUAGAUUUUUGUUUUUCGCAAACGAUAUUAUCUACACUAAGGGAAAAUGGGUGAGUUUAGUCUUCUAAUGAGGUAGCAAUAAUGUGAUUCAAACUCGCUUUUGGCAAGAAUCAAACCAAAGACCUCUCACUUACAAGUGAAGAAAAAUAUCACUAGACUGUAAUACUAAGUGACAGGAAUUUAGGUUAAAAAAGGAAGAAACACACUAAAACAUAGAAUUAAAAAUGUACUACAUAAUCAUUUAUAGAGACAUAUGUGUUCAUAGUUCUCUUGUACUGCAUUUGUAAUACCCUUUGGCUAAAUUUGGAUAAGGUAGUUCCAAGUCAUGGGAUUAAAAGCCAAAUUAUAAAGAAAAUGAUAACAAAAUGUUGGAUAUAAUGCAUUAUAUAUAGAGCGAUACAAAUACAUGUAAGAGAGAUUGCAAAUGACACAUCCCCGCAAGGGAUUAGCUAAUCUCUCCUAUCAUUUGUAACCUUUUUCUUCAUAAUUUGGCUUUUAAUCCUAUAACUUGGAAAUCCCUCGUCCAAAUAUAGCAUUUAUGUAACAUUUUAUAGUUUCAUCUUUUUUUACUAAUUUGGCCUCGAUGCCCUGAGACUUCUAAGUCCCUCAUCUAAACACAACCCAACUAAUUUUAUAGCUCAUAGUUUAAGACAUGAAGUUUGUGAGUCAACAUAUUUAGAGGAGGUGCUCGUGAAAACAUUUAGGCCUUUUAUCAACAAAAAGAAAACUUUGAAUAUGAAUUUGUUGUAAUAUUUAUUGUACAUCGGUCUAUAAACAAUAUAUGUUUCAAGAGGCGAAGAUGUAAAUCAAGACAUUUAGGGUCUCGCAAAAGCAAGGCGUAAGCCUUGAGGUGUUGAGGAGUAAGCUUGUCGUGCCUUGUCCUGUUAUGGUAAAAUAUACGAUAUGUCAUAGAGGGAGAGAAGGUACAAUAAGCCAACAGCCUGGUGUUGUGAGCCAUCUUCCAUCUUAGAUAAUUAGAACGAACGUGUUGAUGUUAUCCUACGGUCAGCAUAUGAUUAUCAUGCAUAUAUGCAUCAAGGGCGUAUACUCUAUUGAUUUCAUUUUAUUCUUCAUGCAUGGUUCUGCAGGAAGCUCACACGACGAUAUCGCAUCAGAAAUGUUGGGAAACUGAUUGAAAUUGCUCAACGAAAUCUUGUUCCACAGAUGAUCAAGUGUACACACUCAAUAAUUAUUUUUAUCAGUUGAAACCAGAUGAUGUUAUUUCAUGCUCUGCCAUUCUGAGAAAGUGACUUUCAUCCUUGACACUGUGAUUGAUCAAUCAAACAGGUGGCUAGCUACUGCUCCGUUUGAUCAGUAACCCUCUGGUGAUCAUUUUGGAUGAAAGCAGAAGACAUGAGCACAGCAGAGUCCCAGCUAAAUGUUGACGGCGUCAUAGUACUAGCACUAGUCAUAGAAAUCAAAGGAACGUGGUCGGAACCAGCACCAGCUGCGUGUGUACUAACAUUCCCAUUGUGCAGUACCUGUUGUUGCAAUUGGU